GACGAACGCUGGCGGCGUGCUUAACACAUGCAAGUCGAACGGAAAGGCCCUGCUUUUGUGGGGUGCUUGAGUGGCGAACGGGUGAGUAACACGUGAGUAACUUGCCCUUGACUUUGGGAUAACUUCAGGAAACUGGGGCUAAUACCGGAUAGGAGCUCCUGCUGCAUGGUGGGGGUUGGAAAGUUUCGGCGGUUGGGGAUGGACUCGCGGCUUAUCAGCUUGUUGGUGGGGUAGUGGCUUACCAAGGCUUUGACGGGUAGCCGGCCUGAGAGGGUGACCGGCCACAUUGGGACUGAGAUACGGCCCAGACUCCUACGGGAGGCAGCAGUGGGGAAUAUUGCACAAUGGGCGGAAGCCUGAUGCAGCAACGCCGCGUGCGGGAUGACGGCCUUCGGGUUGUAAACCGCUUUCGCCUGUGACGAAGCGUGAGUGACGGUAAUGGGUAAAGAAGCACCGGCUAACUACGUG
rnacentral:rRNA from 1 species